rnacentral:tRNA from 1 species
GACCCUGUAGCUCAGCUGGUAGAGCAGUAGCCUUUUAAGCUAAUGGUCCUGGGUUCGAGCCCCAGCGGGGUCA